ACGGCUAUAUUCUGUGGAAACAUCGGUUCUCGUUCGAUCACAAAAGUUAAGUAACAUCGAGUUUGGUCAGUACCAAGAUUGGUAACCUCUUCGGAAUAUCUGGUGCUGUA